rnacentral:rRNA from 1 species
GGUGAACGCUGGCGGUAGGCCUAACACAUGCACGUCGAACGGCAGCACAGGAGAGCUUGCUCUCUGGGUGGCGAGUGGCGGACGGGUGAGGAAUACAUCGGAAUCUACUUUUUCGUGGGGGAUAACGUAGGGAAACUUACGCUAAUACCGCAUACGACCUACGGGUGAAAGCAGGGGACCUUCGGGCCUGGCGCGAUUGAAUGAGCCGAUGUCGGAUUAGCUAGUUGGCGGGGUAAAGGCCCACCAAGGCGACGAUCCGUAGCUGGUCUGAGAGGAUGAUCAGCCACACUGGAACUGAGACACGGUCCAGACUCCUACGGGAGGCAGCAGUGGGGAAUAUUGGACAAUGGGCGCAAGCCUGAUCCAGCCAUACCGCGUGGGUGAAGAAGGCCUUCGGGUUGUAAAGCCCUUUUGUUGGGAAAGAAAUCCAGCUGGCUAAUACCCGGUUGGGAUGACGGUACCCAAAGAAUAAGCACCGGCUAACUUCGUGCCAGCCGCCGCCGUAA